CUUUAUGCAAAAUGCAAAGCUGCCGACAUGGCGCGAGUCAGGAUAACCCUACACUGGAUCCUCUCCAUCAACACACGAACUUGCCGUGAGAUCUCCCAAGUUACAUAUUAUUUUAGUAAACAGCUUUCUAUGAUUUCUUCACACUGACCAUCUCCUACCCAAUUUCUCUCUGGCCUAGGAAACUAAAACUGUGAAAACUGUCUGGACUCACCGUAUCUCUUUCUUUACCUCCCAUUCUCGUCAGAGUUUCACUCCUACUGCCAUUCUCAAGACCUCCAGCAAGCCUGAUGCCUCCCGAUGAAAGGGCUAUUUCCUUGGAUGACUUCUGGGACACCCAGGUCUUCUGAGUGCCCCCUUAUCUCCAUGGGCCACUGCAUUUCACCUGUCUCAUCUUUCUGACCUUGGAACUGAGUACCAGUUCCCAGCCCUAGAGCUUUUUGCCUAUUAUUGCCC
rnacentral:lncRNA from 1 species